CAAGUACUGUGAAGGAAAGUUGAAAAGCACCUUUGAAAAGAGAGUGCAAGAGAACGUGAAACCGUUAUAGUGGAAGCGGAUGGAGCCGACGUAUCCAGUGCGUAUUCARCCGUNUGGUUUGUGUGUGUGGCGAGUGGCGAGUUCUGCAAAGUCUCACGCUUGUCAACAUGCGCUUUGCUGGCGGUGCAUUUGCGUACAGAGUGCGCCGAAUCGGUUGGUCACGUCGUUUGAAGCAUACGAAGAGGACUCGCUUGCGAGAACCCUGAGUGUGUGGAUGGCGAGUGAGGCUAAUUGUUAUUGAGACUGGUGAAUUCGUGACUGUAUGCGAUGAUUGUGGCUGUUUAUGCUUAGUGCUUGCAUUAUGUMUUUAUGGUUGCGAUUGUUGUAUGCAGUUGCUCAGUCUUUAUUCGGUGUUCGGUCGGUCACCCAUUCGACCCGUCUUGAAACACGGACCAAGGAGUUUAAGGUUUACGCAAGUCAUUGAGUGUUGAAAACUCAAAGGCGUAAUGAAAGUGGGACAUUUGAUGUCUGCGGUGUGAUUUAUGUGCAAUUCGUUGUGCAUGAAGCAACAUCGACCCAUGACCAGAAUUAAUUCUGUUGUGGAGUCUGAGCGUAAGCUUUGAGACCCGAAAGAUGGUGAACUAUGCCCGAACAGGACGAAGUCAGAGGA
rnacentral:rRNA from 1 species